rnacentral:SRP_RNA from 1 species
CCCCAAACGGGCUACACGGGGGGGCCAGUAACCCGAGGGGAGGGGCUGAUGCAGGCCGCCUGGCCCAGCCCCCAGCCGUGAAGGCCCGUCCCACGGGACCGGCGGUUGCCCAGCCACCCCCGUAGGGGGGUGUGUUUGGGCAUUUGCCGGGCGAACCUGGCCAGGCCCGGGAGGGAGCAACCUAAGCCCGGACGCUCGGUGCUCGUGGGGGCUCGGGCUGGAGUUUGGGUGGUUGGGACGCUGCGGCUUGCUUAGGCCUCGACCCGAGGGGGCCGCCG